UCGAGGAAUUUUGGGCAAUGAGCGAAAGCUUGACCCAGCAAUGCCGCGUGCGGGAUGAAGGUCUUCGGAUUGUAAACCGCUGUCGAGAGGGACGAAAAAUGACGGUACCUCUGGAGGAAGCCACGGCUAACUACGUGCCAGCAGCCGCGGUAAUACGUAGGUGGCGAGCGUUGUUCGGAUUUAUUGGGCGUAAAGGGUCCGCAGGUGGUUGGUUAAGUUUGGUGUGAAAUCCCGGAGCUCAACUCCGGAACUGCAUUGAAAACUGACUGACUGGAGAAUCGGAGAGGAGAUUGGAAUUCCAGGUGUAGCGGUGGAAUGCGUAGAUAUCUGGAAGAACACCGAAAGCGUAGGCAGAUCUCUGGACGAUGACUGACAC
rnacentral:rRNA from 1 species